CUGUCUAGGGGUUCAAACCUAAAGAACCCAAAUAUCUAAACGGAGAAAUUCAAUACCAAUCGUUAAACAUUAGUGUGCACUUUUCUCUUAGUAAGACGUUGUGAUCCAUUAGAAAUGAAUCAUAUCAAUGAUUGUUGGGCUAUCAAUAGGCCGUUAUGAAGUUCUUCGGUGCAAAUGGCGCGAUCUUUCACGUUUGCGUGUAUUGCUCGGUGAGCGUAGCGGUACCUGUAAUAGCUGUCUGAUGGAUUUUAAAGGCCAUAUUACUUAUGCUACGGCAUAACCCCGUUUCGUGGGAGUUGAUAUGUGCUCGAUCAACAACGGUUAAAUUUGGGAUACCUUUUGGACCCGUCUUGAAACACGGACCAAGGAGUCUAUCUAGUAUGCGAGUAAAUGGGUAUAUGAAACCUAUUUGCAUAAAAAACUUGACUGUUAUGGGAUUACGAGUCGAAUGCUUUGCGGCAUUAGCUCUUCCAUCCCGGGGCAUUUUCAUCAACAUAUGCAGCAAUGUAUAUGGAAAAUGUACCAUGAGCAUACUGGAUAUGACCCGAAAGAUGGUGAACUAUGCCUGAUCAGGUUGAAGUCAGGGGAAACCCUGGUGGAGGACCGAAGCAGUUCUGACGUGCAAAUCG
rnacentral:rRNA from 1 species